rnacentral:lncRNA from 1 species
CUUUAUCUUGGUUCGGGCAAGAGAAGGCCCUACUUCUAGCACAGGGGGAUGAGACUUAUAUUACUUGCACCUAAGUGCUUGCAGUAGUGAAUAUAAGCUGAGCAGGAGAGGGAAGGAUCCCAAGUCCCUGGGUUGAUUGAGGCAGGUGCCAAUAUCGUGGUGGCGGAGAAAACUGUGAAGUGAUCACCUUGCCUCCCUGAAGCCUUAGGCUGUCCUAUUUAUAGCCUCAAGGAGGGUUGCCUGGAGUACUGGAGUUGGCCGUGUACGGUGAGGAGGUGUUGUCGUGCCCCUGUAGAUGGUAUGGCCCGGAGCAUGGUCUUGUACUUUCUAUUUGACUUGUGCCCGCUUGAUUUCUGCUGAGAGCCGAGGGCUCAGUCACAUACCCGAGCCCCCCUGACAAGAGGGUUGCACAUGCCGUAGUGGUUGACACAGUAAUGAGUAUGGCAAAACGCUCCUAAGUAAUACGUCAACUCUGAAGUAUAUGGUAACGUUGGGUGCCUUUCCGUUGCGGAUAUCGAGGUUAGGACUAGGCUCGGGUGAGGCGGAAGUCCGCUCGAGGCGACCGAGCCCGUUCCAGGAUUCGAAGACGUGUGCGCCAUAGUUGAAGGAGUGGCCUCCUGCAGGAUUCGCGAGGAGCAGGUAGCCAAGGCCGAGCUCGGGCGAGGUGGAGUUUGUCCCGAGGCCAAGGUCGACUUUGGGAGGGCAGAGUUUGUGCCCGAGGGCUAGCCUGACUUCUUGUCGUAUUGUACGUCCCAUCGGGGUUGGCAGACGGCGUGCGGGAACAGUGGUUGCAUGCGUCAUCGUAGUUGUUGAAGCUUGACAGGACCGCAGUCUUAUUGCUCCUAUUCACAUGGAACUCUGUGUGGGGCAGGUAUGCGCAUUGAAUGCUCCUGUCCCCUGCAGACUUUGGGUGAGUUUUGUCUUGGGGUUGUCUUUCUUACCCGAGAUGGGCUCGGACGAGGCGGAGACUGGCGUUUUGGGGAAAGGGGACCUCAGCCGGGACGAGGAUUCUUCUGAGAACACACCCUGUCUGUGGGCAGGCUCAAGCGACGCGGAGUUAUGGUAUCCUCUAAGAGGGGCCUCGGGCAAAGCACGACUUAUUAUCCUUCGUUAUCGGGGAAUGUGCCUUGAUGGUGGUUUAGGGGUUAAGCGUUUUUAGGGGCGUAAUCUAGGUACCCCUAAUUACUAUACCCGACAGUAGUGUUAAGGUGAACACCCUCUUAACACCCGGGUGUUACAGUUACUGUGUCAAUCACCCGUUAGAAUGGCUACCUGCUAUAGCAGUCUGACAAAGGUCCAAUGGUGCACUAGACCAGUACUGUUGGAGGUCUAGUGUGCCACCUGACAAAGCAAUUUUUUCUUAAGAAUUAAUGUUACGAUUUUGUGUUGUAGAUUGAUAUUUUUUGUAAUUGUCGACACUAUUGUUAGUUCCUUGGGUAUGUGAGUUGUAACGCUUUCAGGCCAGGCCGGGCCAGGUGUAACACCCUGAAUUUGGGGUGUAAAAUUUCUUUUUCUAAAAUCCACCAAAUUCAGGUGUUACCCUCUUUCUUUCCUUCUUUCUACUCUUUUUCCAAAUAGUGGAGAGUUAUUUUGUUUUAUAUAUGUAAGCCUAGUAAAAUAAAACCCUAGGGGUGCUUUGAUUGUUGCAUCAUGUCAGAGCAUAUAUUAUUUUGUUUGUGGAGUGCAUUUCCUUUUUGUUUAACGUAUUGUCUUGGUGUGUAUCCAUUUAUUUUUUGUAGCUCUUUCUUGUGUAUAAAUAUGAAUAGGAAUAAAAGAAAAGAAUAAAAAGGGAGAAAAUAGAAAAAGGUCUUUGCUUCCCCAAUCUUCUUAGCCGGCCCAGCCUCCCUCCCCGCGGCCCAGCCAUUCUCCCUCCCCCCUUCACCUCUCACGCACGGCCCACACGCCUUUCCCACCCUCGCCAGCGCGCCAGGCGGCCCACUCGCUCGGCCCAGCGCGCCCCAGCCCACUCCCCUGCGCGCGCCCAAUCGCCCAGACCCAGCAGCAGCGCGCGCUUUCUUCGCGGCCCAGCUCCUCCCCCCUCGCCCUGGCCCACGUCCCGCGCCCUGGCCCAGUCGGCUGUGGCCGGCUCGCUCAGCCCCAGCGGCCGCGCGUGGGCAAUGCCCAGCCGCCGCCGCACCUGACCGCGUCUCUGGCCUGGACACUGCUCUUGCUCUGCAUGCUAGGCCCACCUAUCAUAUGUUUCCUCUCCAAAUAAACUGACUCCACCUGAUCCGGCUCCUGCUCGUUCGUGCGCGCACAGGAAACGGAAACCGCCUCCAAGACCUCGCCCAACGCGCUCCUCUCGCCCAGCUCCGGCCACCCGCGCAGUGCGUCUACCCUUGCCUCAUCCUGCCCCAGCCCCAGGUCCCGGUGUCCUGGCGUCCAGCCGGCGUGGCCCGCGGCGAGCAGCCAGCGUGGCCAGCGCGGCGCGGCCCGUGCAGUGCAGCCAGCGUGGCUCGCCUGCGCGGCGGCCCGGCGCGGCUCGCCAGCGCGGAUGCCUCGCCGACACUUCCCCGCGCGCGCCCGAUCGUUGCGUGGAGGAGCUGCGCAGCCUCGCCAUCAGCACGCCGACCAUGCUCCACCAUGCACGGACGUCGUCAUCAGGAGGAGAGACGCGACGAGCCUGCGUAGCACCUUCGCCGUGCGUCCGAGCCUCGCCAUCUUCGAGCUCGUCGACGCCUUCGCCCUCUCGCCAUCGAGGAGGGAGCCACACCACGUUCACCUUAUGGUAGUUUGUCGCGGAGGUGAGAUCUCUACCCCUCUCUACCCCUGCAUGCAUCCGCGCCACGCGUCCGGUUCACAAUUUAUUCACGUGAUGUUCGCGCGCGUUGUCGCGCGUCGUUGGUACGUGUGGCGCAUGCUGUUUCAUACGUUGUGACGCGCGUUAUUAAAUUGUUACGCGCGUGUCGCGUGCUCUAUUAUUCGUGUAUCACGUGUCCCAUCCGCACAACGUUCGUGCGUGCUAUGCACGUGUCGUCGUUCGUGCGAGUUAUGAUUUACGCACUUUAAUAGAAUCACUUCGCCAUACCGUUCAUGUUAAAUACUUGAUUAAUUUCUUAGUUUUUGAUUAUUAAAAUAACAAUUCAAUCGAAUCUAAUUAAUGAUUUUAAGUGAUUGUGACGUAUGUUUUAUUUAUCUACUUCAUUGUUAGUUUUGCCGUUGGUUAUUAAUGUAGCAAUUUAGUUAAAACUAAUUUAAGGUUUUAAGUAGCGCUUUUAUAAAUAUACGUUAAAAUCAUUAAUACCAACUCAAAUAAGUACUAACUUAAUUAAUACCAACUUAAACGUUUGGAUUCGAUACUUGUUUAGUAUAAAUAUGUCAUAUAUUUAGUUUUUCUCGCUUGUCGCGCGUGCGGUUCCGCACUCUGUGGCGUGAUGUUUCAUGCGCCGUUCUCUCUAGUCGCGCGUACUGUCUCGUGCGUUGUUUUGCGCGUUGUUCGCCGCACUAAGUCACUUGUGUCCGCGUGUCGCGCACGUUGUUUUUGCACGUCGUGCACCUUAUCGCGCGUUAUUAAUUUGCCUUGCUUAUAAUCACUCAUAUUAAUUAAAUUACUUGAUUAACCAUCAACUAUUAAAAUAGUAAGUCAGCUAAAACUAAGUAGUAGUAUUAAUUUACAUUUGAUAGAGGUCAAUUAAUAUAAUAAUGUCGAAUAAUGCGAGUAUGUCGACUUAAAUAUUAUAAUUAAUACUUAUUUAGUGUAAAUACGAUAACUUCUCGACCGUAGCUUCGACUAUCGCGUUUCUUUUCCUCGCAUAACCGUAGAAGCGCUCUCUAUUUUACAUUGCUUGCUUUUAUUAUGUUUUACUUGAAUGGUGUAAUGUUCUUAUGCAUAUAUAUGUUUGUUUGCUUGUGUCUGUUUGUCUUCGCUUCGCAUUGCGAUUAGAUCGCAAUUCGUUUCCGAGCUUCGAGAAAUCGACGGUCAAGCUUCGACGACAAAGAGAUCAAACUCUUCGAGUUCUAUGAGGCUAAAGACCCUGAGCAUCUAUUUGGUGAAGGCAAGUGUCCCUUGACCCAUCUAUGUCCUACUCAUUUUAUAAUUCACUCCCCUCAUUUACACAGUUUAUACCUAAGGAUUGACUAACUUUUGUUUAUCUUGUCCUUGUUUACCUAUUUUGGUUGGGUUAUUUUGGUUUAGCCAUAUGCUAGUGCUUCACAUUAAUCAAUGAACAUGAUGAGAUUAUCUAUGAUACGUUGUUUUCCCUUUUGAUUAUGAUGAUGGUACUGUGACAUUUAAGGGGACUCGAGCUGUUUCUCGAGUGCCUCUCCGUAAGGACUGGUUCGUUGGAUGACCGCCCGGGAAAACAGUGCAACCAUGAGGGUGGAAUGGGACGCCCUUAGCUGAAUAAUUAGAGGAACUGGGGUGUAGUUCGCUUCGCCGUCGUGCCGUUAAUGGGGCUCGGUGUAUGCGGCUCGCUCUGCCAAGGUUGGUUCACCCCUUGGGGAGGAGUGCGGUGCAUUUAGAAAACCUAACGGGCGGCUAAAGCCUCAGGGAAUUUUUGUAAAGGCUUCAUAGUGAAUCCCUGGCCAUUCACCUCGGGAGUGAAUAAGGGUCUUGCAAGCCCGGGCUAGAGAGGGAAUCACGGCUUGUGGGUAAAGUGCGCAACCUCUGCAGAGUGUUAUGAAACUGAUAUAUCAGCCGUGCUCGCAGUUAUGAGCGGCCAAGGGAGCUCCAUUGAUUAGAGAUACUUUGAUCAGAGAUGGUUGGUUUACAGGUGGUGAUGAGGACGAUGGUUUUUUAUUAUGAUUAUGGUAAUGGUAAGUGGUAUUCUUUCCGUUUGGAAAGGGUACUUUGGGUGAAGAACUUCGGUUAAUGCUAAAACCUGGCUUUCUACUAGUAAUAAUAACCUGAUCAACUAAAAGCAACUGCUUGACUUAACCCCACAUAAAGCUAGUCCACUAUAGCCAAACGGGACAUUUGUUGAGUAUGUUGAUGUGUACUCACCCUUGCUUUCACAAAACACCAGGUUGCCUUUGGUGCAAUCUAUGCUCAGGUAAAGAAGAAGAAGAGGGUGUCGAGGCGGAUCUCCAGGAGUUCCAGGACUUCGACGAGUUCGAGGAUUAGGCUAGCGACCUCCCCCAGUCAGCUGCCUGUGGUGGGUUGUUUACGUUGGCUACGUUUCGAUUCUAUGUACUUUGAUUUAUAUUAUGUAAAUGGCUCUAGUCUGUAAUAUUAUUACUUACUCUUUAUUGUAAUUCGAAGCAUUGUGCUAUGAUGAGUCAUUUAUGUAAUCGCUGUGUACGUGAAUUACUGAUCCUGGCACGUACAUGGUUCGCAUUCGGUUUACCUUCUAAAACCCGGGUGUGACAUAAGUGGUAUCAAAGUCGUGCUGACUGUAGGACCGCUGACCUAUAGUAGCAUUGGCCAUUUUAAGGACUUCUUGACUGUUACUUCACCUCAUCCUUGAUUCUGCUUCAAAAUUUUAGUCAUCUCGACUAAUUCUAUGUUGUGAUCCUAUAUGCCCCCUUGUCAAAAAGUAUUUUAUUCUAGUAUGGUCUAUACUUCUCUCAGUCUAUUAGAACUUAUCUCACUCUUGUGCUUGCGACAUCUUUAUAGAUGCCCCUUAACCAUAGCCUUUAGUCUUUUGGGACUCUUUCCUCGUCCAUUAUUAAAUUGCUACCAUUUGACCAUCUCUAUUCCAUUUUGUUAUUAACAUGCUCGUAUCCUUGCAUUUUUCAUACCCUUAUCCCUUAAUCUAAAGUACUUAGCCUUGUACCUCUAUUGCCUAUUUAAAUAGUUCAGUUUAUGUGUCCAUGACCUUCUUGUCUUCUGAGAUCCUUUCUUAUUUUGUUGUUAGGUCGUUAUCUUUCGGCAAUUUCUAUGCCCUUGGUCUUAGUAUGCUCGUAUCCUUGGAAUCUUGCAUACCCUUAUACUCUUAUGUAUGAUUAUUUUCAUACCCCAAUGUCUGUUUAAGACAUUUCAGUUAACAUGCCCUUGACCACCCUUGUUUCUUAAUGAUCCAUGAGCGGUCAUUUUUAUUUGCAUAUCCUUGGUAAUCUCGUUGUCUCCUUGUGACUCCACUUGGUAAUUAAUUUUCUUUACUUCAACCAUUCUGUUGCAACCUUACCUAUCUUACCGUUGAUUGUUUUUCCCACUUCGCCACCUAGUGAGUCUUGCCAAAACUCUAUCCUUAUGCUUUUCAUUAUUAUCACCUUUACCUUUGACACCUCUAUAUCUUACAUUGAUGUUUAUCUUAUACCUGCCCUUUAAAUUCUCCUCUUUUCCAUCUCAAUCUGGGAGUUAUACUUUACCUAUUUUCCCUUGGUCGUAUCCUCCUCUUUGUCGCUUGUGAGUUCUCAACUCCAUCCUUUGUUGUGCUUCUAUUUAGUGUUGCCUUUACCUUUCCCAUCUCUCGACCAUACCUUGGUGAUUACAUUAUGUCUGUUAUCUAAAAUCUCCAAUCUCUUAUCCUAAUUUGAGAGUGGUGUUUUACUUAUCUCACCCUUGGCAAUAUCCUCUUCUUCACCGCGUGUGAGCCUUGACAUAACUCCAUUCUUUGUUGCACUUAUACCACUAGCUCUUCAAUGCCUUCGUUUUUCCCUCAUACCCUUGUCUGUUAUCGCCUCUAACCCUUGUGAUAUUUAUGUCUUCUACCUAACUGCUUACCUUGAACUUAUCCUUUAAAAGCCUCCCCUUUCCUUCAACCCAGUUUGAGGUUGUGAGUUACCUAUCUCUCCCUUGAUUUCUUUUCACUCCUUGUUGCCUUACAGGUUUUGUCUUAAUUCCAUCCUUUGUUGUGUGUUUUAUUUGCUAUCACCAUCUCCUUGUCAUCCAUCGAUCUUGCCUUGAUACUCAUCUUUAUUUUGGCUCUUUAAAAAUCUCCUCUCUUCCACCUCAAUUGGAGAGUGACAAUUUACUUAUAUGGCCCUUGGACAUACCCUGUCCUUUUCCAUUUACAGGUCCUAUCUUAACUCCAUCCUUUAUGGUACUUAUAUCCUUUGUUUUAUGCCUAUUUACCUCAUCUCCUACAUCCUUGUCCAUUAUUACUUUUAAAACCCUUGUGAUAUCUAUGCCCUUGCCUUCCUGCUUACCUUGAACCUACCCUUUGAAGCCCCUCUUUUCCAUUCCUGUUUGGGGAUAAUGCCUCAUCUAUUUCAUCAUUGAUUGCUCCCCCUUCUUUGAUGCCUUGCAGGUUUUGUCUAAAAUACAUCCUUGGUUGUGUUUGUCUGUUAUCACCUUAACCCUUGUCAUCCCUUGAUCUUUACCAUGAUGCUUAUCUUGCACCUUCAUUUUAAAGCCUCCUCUCCCAUUUCAUUUCAAGAGUGAUGUCUUACCUAUCCCGCUCUUGUUCGUUCCCUUUUUCCUCUGUUGCGUUGCAAGUCUUGUCCUAACUCUAUCUUUUGGUGUGUUUUUGCCUUUCACCUCCCUUACCUUUGUAAUCUCUAGAUCUUUCCAUGAUGUUAUCUUAUGCCUACCUUUUGAAAUAUCAUCUUUCCCAUCUCGAUUUGAGAAUGGUGUUUUACCUAUCUUGACCUUGGUUACAUUCUCUCCCCUAUCGGUUACAAUCCCUGCUUUAGCUCCAUCCUUUAUAGCGCUCAUGCCCCUAUUUUGUAUGUCUUGUUAUUCCCCUUGCCUUUCGAUGGCCUUAGAAUAGUUUCCCCUUGGUAAGGAAAGACCACCAUUUAAUUAAAAGUUACGUAUGGCAACGAGAUGUUUGUUGUUGUAUGCUCGUGCUAUUUGUCUUUGUGUUAUGACUGAUUUGCUUCUUUGUGAUGAGUGUUGAUAUGUUGUGGCCCUUGGUCCGCAAUGACAUCAGUUUACUAGCUGAGUGCCAUAGAGUUAGGUAGUUGGGUGCUCUCUCUUUUCUCUCUUUAAUCCAUCUAUGCUUACCUUUUCAAUAUGUACCCUUUCCUCUUGCACCUGUCUGGUUGGCAACCUCCAACCUCUCUUAAUUAGUCAAGAUCAGAGUUGGCAGCAUCUUCACCAAGUGCAUAUCAAUGCUCCUGUUAAGGGGGUUAGUCGCUAACCCUAAUGAAGACAAUGCGAUCAACAUCAACCAACAAGGUCAAAGUGGCGCAACAAAAGCAUGUGUGGGUCCUAACACAUAGGUCCAAGAGAUCCUCAAGAAUUGCAUCAAUCAGUCUCAAGCAUCUGAAGGUCAAAGAAGCCAGUCCCCAAGUUAAGCUUACAGAGUCAAAGUCAGCUCAAGAAAGUCGUGAACAACUAAUGAACCAAUCUCAUUUUCUUGCUAGCCUCUUCUUGAAUCUCGAGGGCGAGAUUCUGUUAAGGGGGUUAGGUUUGUAACACCCUGAAUUUGGGGUGUAAAAUUUCUUUUUAUAAUAUCCACCAAAUUCAGGUGUUACCCUCUUUCUUUCCUUCUUUUCUACUCUUUUUCCAAAUAGUGGAGAGUUAUUUUGUUUUAUAUAUGUAAGCCUAGUAAAAUAAAACUCUAGGGGUGCUUUGAUUGUUGCAUCAUGUCGGAGCAUAUAUUAUUUUGUUUGUGGAGUGCAUUUGCUUUCUGUUUAACGUAUUGUCUUGGUGUGUAUCCAUUUAUUUUUUGUAGCUCUUUCUUGUGUAUAAAUAUGAAUAGGAAUAAAAGAAAAGAAUAAAAAGGGAGAAAAUAGAAAAAGGGCUUUGCUUCCCCAAUCUUCUGAGCCGGCCCAGCCUCCCUCCCCGCGGCCCAGCCAUUCUC